GAUGAAGAACGUAUCGAAAUGCGAUACGUAAUGUGAAUUGCAGAAUUCAGUGAAUCAUCGAGUCUUUGAACGCACAUUGCGCCCCCUGGUAUUCCGGGGGGCAUGCCUGUCCGAGCGUCAUUGCUGCCCUCAAGCACGGCUUGUGUGUUGGGCCUCCGUCCUCCUCCCGGGGGACGGGCCCGAAAGGCAGCGGCGGCACCGCGUCCGGUCCUCGAGCGUAUGGGGCUUCGUCACCCGCUCUUGUAGGCCCGGCCGGCGCUUGCCGACACAUCAAUCUUUUUUCCAGGUUGACCUCGGAUCAGGUAGGGAUACCCGCUGAACUUAAGCAUAUCAAUAAGCGGAGGA
rnacentral:misc_RNA from 1 species